GCGGCGGAGUCGGGGGCUCGCGGUCUUCCCUCCCCGCCCGCCUACGGACGUAGAGCCCAGAGAGGUCGAGGGCUCACGGUGGGCUCCCCGCGCUCGCUGCCCCGAGAACUCUCUGCCGCUCGGGGUCGGCCUGGGGUCAGGGUGGGUGGCGGGGAAGGCGAGGCGGAGGAACCCGGGAGCUCGGUCCGCACUGGGCUUCCCGAGGCGCCGCUCGGCUUGGUGUCCUUGGCUCGCCCGUCCCCUAGCCCUUGCCUGGCGGGCCGCGCUCUGCAUCCUAAUCCGUCUCCUUCAGAGCCCCCUUCAGGAAGUGAGGGGAGGGAUCCCGCAGUUCAUUUCCCACGCCGCCCGCGUCCCGCACCCCCAGCCGAGCGCCCCACCGCACACCAACGUCACCCCUUCCCCAGCGGGGUCUGUGCUCCGACCCAAGGACUCCCACUGGGGGCGGCGGGGGCAGGGAGGAGAUUUUAAUGUGAAUAGCCCACACAGCCUAGAAGUCACAGGCGGAACCACCGUAACUGCCAAGUAACGAGAAUUGUGCUAGGAGGUGCUUCACUUGGGCAUUCAAAUCAAGGUUCCACUUUACCCCUAGGAGAAAGGAGGACUUUGAUCCAAAGCCUAUUCUUAAACCACAGAUGACUGGCUCCAGAGGUCCGUGCAAAACCUAGCUCUCCAUCUCAAACGGUGGUGGAACCCGCAGCCUCUGCUUUAGCUUUCAAGCUUAUCAUUUGAAUCUUCUCAGGUCUUCAAAAUAUCGCCUUUUAGAAGUUGUAGGGAAACAAAUUCAGGAAUUGAAGCCACCUGGAAGGGAGACAUAACUGUCAGAAGGGGUUUGUCGGCCACAUUCUGUCAUUUUUCUGCUCUUGAGGCCACUGCAGUGGAUGGAACCAGCUCUCAGAAGCCCAGGGAUUAGAAAUCUCUGGCUCCAUGCAGGGAACACCUGAAGGAACUGAACUUCCAACCACCUGAGCCAAAGAUCGUUUAAGUGCAGGUGAGGAGGGAUAUGAGAGCUAACAACUGGCGCCUGGAGGAGGAGGGAGUCCCUAGAAGGCAGAUUCCUGAGUUCUUCAAUGACUGUGAGAGGACAACCCAAUGUGAACUCUGGAGGAAGCGUUAGGGGAUCCUGGAGCAGCCCGAAGGACACAGUGAUUGCAAUGCAGGAGAUACAACCAAAGUGAACACACUCUGUCAAAGGCAUUUCAGGCUGGAUGGAAUCUGAGGUGAGGAACUGAGGAUGCAUGUGAGUAACCAGCCAGCACCUGCCUGCCCUCCACGCCUGGCUACACCUUUUCUCCUGCUGAUCUUCCCAGCGGAGGAAGGAGAUUACACAACCUCUCGGUGGAGAUGGUGCAUUCUUGUCCAACUCAGAGGAUUACAGGCUCUUCAAAGACUGGGGUCCCUGUCAGAAAGCUCCACAGCCUCUGCUAGAAGGCUCACAGGAAGGCACAAGUUUCUUCCAUUCUCCUCCCUUUCUCACCUCCCCUGAGAACAAAAAGAAUUGAAACUUCUUGGGAAGAGAAGGCAGGGUGCACAGGCCCUCUGGCUGUAGCUUAGUUACUUCCUGAAGAAAAAAAACAACUCAACAAUACUGUUUCCAGAAUGGUCUGAGCUUGCAGAUUGAGUUUCGGUUAAGGGAAAUCUUAACUUUGACCUUUCUUCUGAGGUGGGGCAGUUCUAAGGGAGCCACACAGUGUGGCAGGGGCUGAGGUGAGGUGUCGAUGUGCAGACACAGGUUCUCAUUAAGAACAAAGUUCUACUGGGUAUGUUGAAUAGGAAACAAUUUUCCUCGCCGAGGUGCCCCUAAAUGAUCUGGGUCUAGACUGAAACACAAAAGCAGCAGAGACCAUGAAUGAAAGCAAGAAAGAAGUGCCAGCAGGAGUGACGAGCCGCCCCGAGUACAAUAACUCACGAGUAUACUGCUGAUGAAUCAACGUGUGAAAGAUAAGCCCAACCUCACCAGUGAUCAUGGAGAUGGAAAUCCAAUUGCAGAGAUAUACUUUCCAGGGGCCACACCAUGCUGUUCUUGAAGGGGACCUUCUCUUGGAUGCACUGGGAGUGCUCUCCGGCUUUCCAGAAAGGCCAGUGGUAAUAGGUAACAAGACUUGAGAAGGGUUGACUCAGUAAUGUCACUUCUAGGAAAUGGUUCUAAAGAAAUAACAGGAGAGGUGAACAAAGACGAUUUUAUGCAAAGGAGAUCAUUGCUUCAUUAUGAGAAGAAAAAUCCCCCAAAACAAAAAAACCCUCAAGCCCAAACUCUGAAAUGUCCAACAAAUGAAAAUGGUCAAUCACCACAAAUACAUACAAGAACAUUAUGUGGUCCUUAAAUAAAGCCACUCGUGGAGGCAGUUUGA